GAUGAAGAACGCAGCGAAAUGCGAUAAGUAAUGCGAAUUGCAGAAUUCAGUGAAUCAUCGAAUCUUUGAACGCACAUUGCGCCCGCCAGUAUUCUGGCGGGCAUGCCUGUCUGAGCGUCGUUUCGACCCUCGCGCCCGGCUUCUGUCGGGGGCGGUGUUGGGGAUCGGCCACACCCUUCAGUGGGAGGCCGGCCCCUAAAUUCAGUGGCGACCACGCUGUAGCCUCCCCUGCGUAGUACUAAAACCACCUCGCAGGCGGAGAGCGGUGCGGCCCGCCGUAAAACCCCCCAACUUUUACAAGGUCGACCUCAGAUCAGGUAGGAAUACCCGCUGAACUUAAGCAUAUCAAUAAGGAGGA
rnacentral:misc_RNA from 1 species